CGGUCGGCAGUUCACCCAGGCGUUGCCGUGCGGCCUCGUCCGCAAGCUAAACCUGCCC
rfam:Ideonella sakaiensis DNA, contig: ISCTG002.